rnacentral:rRNA from 1 species
UGUGACUGCGUACCUUUUGUAUAAUGGGUCAGCGACUUAUAUUCAGUGGCAAGGUUAACCAUCUAGGGGAGCCGUAGGGAAACCGAGUCUUAACUGGGCGUUCAGUCUCUGGAUAUAGACCCGAAACCAGGUGAUCUAGCCAUGGGCAGGUUGAAGGUUGAGUAACAUCAACUGGAGGACCGAACCGACUAAUGUUGAAAAAUUAGCGGAUGACUUGUGGCUAGGGGUGAAAGGCCAAUCAAACCUGGAGAUAGCUGGUUCUCCCCGAAAGCUAUUUAGG